UGUGUGGUCAGCUGAAAAUCGUCCUUUCAGAACACAACAAAUGUGUGUGUUGGUAACAUUCAACAGAUAUCAAAACAAUGAACAUCUGAUAUCUCCAGGUGUUUGAUCAGUUCUCCAUGUGUUUGAUCAGUUCUCCAUGUAUUUGUCUCCAGUUGUUUGUCUCCAGGUGUUUGAACAGUUCUCCAGGUGUUUGUCUCCAGGUGUUUGAACAGUGCUCCAGGUGUUUGUCUCCAGGUGUUUGAUCAGUUCUCCAGGUGUUUGUCUCCAGUUGUUUGUCUCCAGGUGUUUGAACAGUUCUCCAGGUGUUUGUCUCCAGGUGUUUGAACAGUGCUCCAGGUGUUUGAUCAGUUCUCCAGGUGUUUGUCUCCAGUUGUUUGUAUUUGUCUUCAGGUAUUUGUCUCCAGGUGUUUGAUCAGUUCUCCAGGUGUGUUUGUCUCACAGAGUGAGUCUGCAGCCAGGUGAGAGCCACAGUUGAUAUCAGACAUACACUGUAAAUAUUAAUGGUUUUUAUUCAGGUGGAGACCUCUAAUGGUCAUAGAACGUAUGACAGGAGGAUCAUAUCCACUACACGCCUUAUUGUGAGUAACUCUUAUCCUUCAUCAAAUCAAAACAUUCACCCCCCCGUACAGUGUGUGUCGAUCGAGACAUGAGCUAAUCAGACCUAUUUGGUGUUUUGAACCACGCUGUAAACAUGUUAAUCUCUGCUGUAAAAACAGGCUUUUUAGAAUGGGUGUGUAUGUGACUUCCUGUGCUUCUGCAGCCAGCCUCUAGUGGACACUCGAGGAACUGCAGGAUUUUACACUUCAGCAUUGGCUUCAUUUUUGAACACCAGAGGUUGCUGCUUGACAUCAGACUACUCAGGAGGCGGAGCUCAGAGCUUCCACUGUA